rnacentral:rRNA from 1 species
UUCGGAACAACACAGGGAAAACUUGUUGCUUAUAUACCGGAUAAGCCCUUACGGGGAAAGAUUUAUCGCCGAAAGAUCGGCCCGCGUCUGAUUAGCUAGUUGGUGGGGUAAUGGCCCACCAAGGCGACGAUCAGUAGCUGGUCUGAGAGGAUGAUCAGCCACAUUGGGACUGAGACACGGCCCAAACUCCUACGGGAGGCAGCAGUGGGGAAUAUUGGACAAUGGGGGCAACCCUGAUCCAGCCAUGCCGCGUGAGUGAUGAAGGCCCUAGGGUUGUAAAGCUCUUUUGUGCGGGAAGAUAAUGACGGUACCGCAAGAAUAAGCCCCGGCUAACUUCGUGCCCGCAGCCGCGGUAAUACGAAGGGGGCUAGCGUUGCUCGGAAUCACUGGGCGUAAAGGGUGCGUAGGCGGGUCUUUAAGUCAGGGGUGAAAUCCUGGAGCUCAACUCCAGAACUGCCUUUGAUACUGAAGAUCUUGAGUUCGGGAGAGGUGA